rnacentral:rRNA from 1 species
GAGUUUGAUCGUGGCUCAGAUUGAACGCUGGCGGCAGGCUUAACACAUGCAAGUCGAGCGGGGGAGAUUGCUUCGGUAAUUGACCUAGCGGCGGACGGGUGAGUAAUACUUAGGAAUCUGCCUAUUAAUGGGGGACAACAUCUCGAAAGGGAUGCUAAUACCGCAUACGCCCUACGGGGAAAGCAGGGGAUCACUUGUGACCUUGCGUUAAUAGAUGAGCCUAAGUCGGAUUAGCUAGUUGGUGGGGUAAAGGCCUACCAAGGCGACGAUCUGUAGCGGGUCUGAGAGGAUGAUCCGCCACACUGGGACUGAGACACGGCCCAGACUCCUACGGGAGGCAGCAGUGGGGAAUAUUGGACAAUGGGGGGAACCCUGAUCCAGCCAUGCCGCGUGUGUGAAGAAGGCCUUAUGGUUGUAAAGCACUUUAAGCGAGGAGGAGGCUCCUGUAGUUAAUACCUACAGAGAGUGGACGUUACCCGCAGAAUAAGCACCGGCUAACUCUGUGCCAGCAGCCGCGGU